GGUUGUUUGAAAAGCCGAAGCUUCGGUUACAAGUAUCCUCAGCUGGAAGGGGGUGGGCGGCUUCUGGCCGAAGACGCCUCUGAAUGCGCAAGGGAAUAGGGAGGGUGUUCGCCCCCACAGCCUCUAAAGAAAUCGCUGGGGCGGUGGGAACCCUGGCGUGGUGUUCGGGACCGGGGGCCACCCCGCCGGGAAUGCAAACAGCCCCCUUCUGCGCGCCAAUGCCGGGCAGCUUCUGGCGGUUGCAGCCCGAAGUGUCUGAGGCGCAGGGGGGUUGGCGCGACUCAUUUCUGUUGAUGUCGGUGGUGCCAUGUCUUGGAUGGCGUUGUGUCGGGGAGACCUGCUACUGUGAACGCGCUUUUGCCACUUGUGUGACGGGCGAAGUGCCAACCUGGCUUGGAAGUAUCUCCUUCGGCCCUCAUCGCCUACUAGUUUGGGGCCUUGGCUACUGCAGGGGGUGCGCGGGAUGGCGGGGGCGGCUGUGGGGGUGACCUGCGGUGCGGGGGGUGGUUGGUGGAGUGUGUGUGAGGAAGCCGUGCUCAGCUGGCUGGGUCGGCGCAUUGCCGUGACGCGUGUCUGCGGCUGCUUGGCGCCACAAAAUGGGGGCUGCGACAGGCCGGGUAGUGUGGAUUUCAGCUCAUGCUUUAUGGCCGGACGGAGACAUUGAAAGAAGAAAAAAGGAAAACCAACGUCUUCUGUGGGGCCGGAAUUUGGGGCAGGGACACCGUGGCAAGAAAAUGCUGUCAGCCACAAUGGAGGUGAAGUAUGAUAAACUGUAUCUGAUUUUCAAAGCGUCAGGGAGCUGAACUUUCUCGUAUGAAAGCUUGCAACUUCUAGGUGAUGUGCUCAUAGAUGUAUUAGCUUUUUAUCUUGUGUACUAAGGGACCCGAUCGAUGGGUUUAACCUAUUCCACUGAAUCAUCACACUUGAAGCGAGUCUUUAAAUGCCUGGAAAAACGAAAAU
rnacentral:misc_RNA from 1 species